UGGGGAAUAUUGGACAAUGGGGGCAACCCUGAUCCAGCAAUGCCGCGUGUGUGAAGAAGGUCUUCGGAUUGUAAAGCACUUUCGACGGGGACGAUGAUGACGGUACCCGUAGAAGAAGCCCCGGCUAACUUCGUGCCAGCAGCCGCGGUAAUACGAAGGGGGCUAGCGUUGCUCGGAAUGACUGGGCGUAAAGGGCGUGUAGGCGGUUUACACAGUCAGAUGUGAAAUCCCCGGGCUUAACCUGGGAGCUGCAUUUGAUACGUGUAGACUAGAGUGUGAGAGAGGGUUGUGGAAUUCCCAGUGUAGAGGUGAAAUUCGUAGAUAUUGGGAAGAACACCGGUGGCGAAGGCGGCAACCUGGCUCAUGACUGACGCUGAGGCGCGAAAGCGUGGGGAGCAAACAGGUUAGAUAC
rnacentral:rRNA from 1 species